UCAGGCCAAAUGCUUAGUUUAAUAUUCUCAAUAUUACAUUUAAUAAUAUGUACGCAAUUUGUGCACAGAUUUUUAGUUGGACAAAUUUAUCUGGCCUUAUUUUUAAUAAUAAUUUCCUUUUCCAGGUCUGUAACAAGAUGCCCAUGGAAGUUUGUUUGGGUUUGAGUGGGAACGCGACCUCGCCUCGUUGUGGACAAGCUAUCAUAAUAUUUACACGGAGGUGUCUUCGGUGGAUUGGUGGUGCCGGCCAUCGACGGUUCGGGCUGUCCCUCGGAUUGGUGGAUGGCGUCCUCCGGCUCCUCUCUGUGUUCGGCGGGAUAUGGAUCGGCUCCAACAUGGACAUGCUGGGUAUCGAAGGAGCAGCGUGUGGAGGUGAGGUGGUUGGUAUAUCCUGGAGCUCGAUCUGGGUGGAUGAAUGUUGGCCCAGAUUAUUGGUGUUGAAGCCCAUGGAGGAUAUGCUGCCGGGCUCGCGACUCCUUGGGGUCUCUGCCUCGUCGUCCACUGGAGUGGGAGUGCUGGAUGGAGCGUCGUCAACUAUUGCCGCAUCCGCCUGUGCGCUGGGUCCUGAGGGUAGUGCUACUGGGUACGAGACAUCCGAAUUGGGGUUGGAGUCUUCCAUGGUGAAGUGGCAGAUUCUUGGCUGACAGCGUGGAAGUUCGAGUGACAGUUCGGUAGUGUGUGAGCAGACAAGCGAAUCGAUGCUAAUUUGCUUAAAAUUAGAUAAGUGAUGAGAUAAGUGAACAACAAAUAUUUAUCACAGUGAUUAGUGCCGCGAGAUGACUAGAGGAUAAUUCAGUGCACGUUGACCUUCAAUUGUUCGAGGUAAACAUAUAAACAUUAAAAAUUAACAAUAAAAAUAUGACAUAUAAUACUAACAUAUAGCAAUUGCCUGUGAGGUGGGAUACGAAACCUUCUUGUUUUAUAAUUUUCGUGUGGUUCAGUCCACAUACAAAAUUGAUCUGUUCAAUCUCAAGUUCGUUCUUUCUCUCCCCCAAAAAUUCAUCACUAGUUGACAAAUCUUUUACCCACACUGAUCAUGCAGGGCAUGGCUUAUUAAUAAUUGGGGUUCUAUGUCACUCUAAUUUGAUUAGGAUUGUUAUGAUGAAUAUUCAGGCUAAGUUUGACAAGUUGGGAUUGAUCCAAAGUUUGAAAAAAUUUCUGGGUACUAGUGAAAUAAUUAUGUAAUCUAAUAGUGUAGCUGUACAUGCCUAGGGGUCUCAUCAGAGGCUAACACAGUUGGGCGCCAUGUGUCAAAUCCCAGUCUCUGGAGGGGCGUCAUGUGUCAUGAUCUUACUCCAAAGGUGGGACACAGAAAUGUACAAUUUGAACUAUAUGAUAAUAAAUUAGGGUUAUAAUUGUUCAGCCAAGAAUACGAUUCCUUCGUAUAAUGGGUCUUACCUUGGGUUGACGACUAUUGCAACCUAUUUUGCUCCGUAGAGAGGGGAGGACGUACAGUAAAAAAAAAAAGAAAAAGGUAUUUAAUAGUUGAAAUGGUUAAAUUAAAUGAAAUAAUUGAAAAAUUAUAAUAUUUGCGGUUAUGAUUCACUGAUAGAUAUUUGCAGGUUAGAUUGAUCAAUCUUUGUUUAAUCGAAUUGUCGAUAUCACUUGAAUCGAUGUAUUGAAGCAGAAUGACUAGUAUAUGGAUGGGACAGAUUGAAAAAGUUAAUUUGCUCAACAGAGGGUUUGUCGGUCUACAAAGGUAGCCGAAGUAAGGGACCUGAGACUCUAACUUAAUAUGGUAGGUGGCUAUAAUAUAGUGAGGUGGAAUUAAAUUCACUUUAAUAAUAAAAUACAGUUCAACUUGAAUCUGCUGAAAAUAAAUCCUGUUGUCACUAUGGUCAGACAGAGAUAGUAACUUUGGAGUGAACCUUUUCUCCAAAUGAUGACCAAUAUAUCCAGAAUCCAAUACUUGUGCCAUAAUUUGGAAAGAUAUUAGACCGCAUGAAACAACAGGUAGAAUGGCAAAUUCAUGCGAACCAGGUCUCUGAUAAAUACUAUAGGUUAUGUAGCGAAGUGCUGGACCAAAAUAGUAAAUAUUUCGAGUACCGAGUUUAAUUCUAACGUUGUCUAUACGAUCUAUUACCUCUCUUUUCAACGUUGAUCGGCUGAUGAUGCGGGAUUCACUUCACCUCGGUGUAGCAGGCCGGUGGGAGUCGAUUUACUAUUUGAUUCUGUGGGAUACCCCCAAUGACAGAAUUUAUUACUUGAUAGGAAAAACGACCACCACUUACCACCAGAAUAGAUAAUAGUCUAAUGAUAGAUACUAUACUCGCUACUGUCUGACUAUUGCAAAACAGGACAUGUCCUGAAUGACCAAUGUGUGUCAGUCGAGAAAGAACGAAUUUGGAGGUAUAAUGAAGUAAACCCAGUUUAACAAAACGGUAAUAUGGAUAUAUUCUGAGAGAUAAACUGUUACAGCAAAUAUUGAAUAAAUUAAUGAACAGAUUAUGUGAAUAAUAAUUUUCAAUAGAUACAAAAUAAAUAUUGGUUGAUAGCAGAUUUGAAUCUUUAAAUUAUAAAUAUUAUAUAGAAAGUUCGGUACUCUUCAAUUAAACAAAAUGAAAUGGAUAAUAGCCCUUGGAAAGGGUCAUAAACUGAACUAGUUCAACAAGAAAAAACAAGUUAAUAUGAAAUGGUGAUUCAGAAAAUAGAAUAAAUUAAUAAUUAAAAUUAUUCUCAGGGUGUGGUUUCGCCUAAGGAAAAUAGACCUUUUGGCUAAGUACAGCGUGGAUAGUUAAAUGUAUUUAAUAUUAUAAAAAUUAAUUAUGAUAAGUUUUGUACCCUUAAAACUAUAGUCAUGACUUUUCUCAAAUGGACGAAUUUAUGCGCUGUACAAUUUUCUCAGAUUUAUGGGGAUCCCCUUUUAUAUAUUCGAACAACUUACGUAGACUUUUGUUUCCGUUUUUUGGUUUUUCGAAAUAUAUUCGGCCGUAGAAUAUAUCGUUCCGGCUGGGUCCUUCCACGUGGCGAAAAAUGUUGAACAGACUUCACUGAUAUAAUUUCGGGGUUUAUUUAAAUGAAAUUUAAAAUCUUAAUAUCACAAUUAUUAUAGGAACUUUGGAACAACUUUUUUAAAAAACAGAAAAACGAAGAUUAAGUUACAUGAAACAGAAAUUAAAGCUUUUGAACAAUUAGGUACGUGGACUAGGUCUGCAUCCUACCGAUGAUCCUUGCAAAAUGGCC